rnacentral:rRNA from 1 species
AUUGAACGCUGGCGGCAUGCCUUACACAUGCAAGUCGAACGGCAGCACGGGUGCUUGCACCUGGUGGCGAGUGGCGAACGGGUGAGUAAUACAUCGGAACAUGUCCUGUAGUGGGGGAUAGCCCGGCGAAAGCCGGAUUAAUACCGCAUACGAUCUACGGAUGAAAGCGGGGGCCCUUCGGGCCUCGCGCUAUAGGGUUGGCCGAUGGCUGAUUAGCUAGUUGGUGGGGUAAAGGCCUACCAAGGCGACGAUCAGUAGCUGGUCUGAGAGGACGAACAGCCACACUGGGACUGAGACACGGCCCAGACUCCUACGGGAGGCAGCAGUGGGGAAUUUUGGACAAUGGGCGAAAGCCUGAUCCAGCAAUGCCGCGUGUGUGAAGAAGGCCUUCGGGUUGUAAAGCACUUUUGUCCGGAAAGAAAUCCUUGGCCCUAAUACGGUCGGGGGAUGACGGUACCGGAAGAAUAAGCACCGGCUAACUACGUG